rnacentral:rRNA from 1 species
CGGGUGAGUAAUACAUCGGAACGUGUCUUCUAGUGGGGGAUAACUGCCCGAAAGGGCAGCUAAUACCGCAUGAGACCUGAGGGUGAAAGCGGGGAUCGCAAGACCUCGCGCUGGAAGAGCGGCCGAUGUCCGAUUAGCUAGUUGGUGAGGUAAAGGCUCACCAAGGCGACGAUCGGUAGCUGGUCUGAGAGGACGACCAGCCACACUGGGACUGAGACACGGCCCAG